UACGUAGGGCGCGAGCGUUGUCCGGAAUCAUUGGGCGUAAAGAGCUCGUAGGCGGCCUGUCGCGUCUGCUGUGAAAUCCCGGGGCUCAACCCCGGGCGUGCAGUGGAUACGGGCUGGCUGGAGGCAGGCAGGGGAGAACGGAAUUCCCGGUGUAGCGGUGAAAUGCGCAGAUAUCGGGAGGAACACCGGUGGCGAAGGCGGUUCUCUGGGCCUGUACUGACGCUGAGGAACGAAAGCGUGGGGAGCGAACAGG
rnacentral:rRNA from 1 species